GGUUAAGCGACCAAGCGUACACGGUGGAUGCCCUGGCAGUCAGAGGCGAUGAAGGACGUGCUAAUCUGCGAAAAGCGCCGGCGAGGUGAUAUGAACCCUUGACCCGGCGAUGUCCGAAUGGGGAAACCCAGUGUGACUCGUCACACUAUCAUUAACUGAAUCCAUAGGUUAAUGAGGCGAACCGGGGGAACUGAAACAUCUAAGUACCCCGAGGAAAAGAAAUCAACCGAGAUUCCCCCAGUAGCGGCGAGCGAACGGGGAGGAGCCCAGAGCCUGAAUCAGCAGGUGUGUUAGUGGAAGCGUCUGGAAAGGCACGCGAUACAGGGUGAGAGCCCCGUACACGAAAAUGCACCUGCUGUGAGCUCGAUGAGUAGGGCGGGACACGUGGUAUCCUGUCUGAAUAUGGGGGGACCAUCCUCCAAGGCUAAAUACUCCUGACUGACCGAUAGUGAACCAGUACCGUGAGGGAAAGGCGAAAAGAACCCCGGCGAGGGGAGUGAAAAAGAACCUGAAACCGUGUACGUACAAGCAGUGGGAGCACAGGUUUACCUGUGUGACUGCGUACCUUUUGUAUAAUGGGUCAGCGACUUAUAUUCUGUAGCAAGGUUAACCGAAUAGGGGAGCCGGAGGGAAACCGAGUCUUAACCGGGCGUUAAGUUGCAGGGUAUAGACCCGAAACCCGGUGAUCUAGCCAUGGGCAGGUUGAAGGUUGGGUAACACUAACUGGAGGACCGAACCGACUAAUGUUGAAAAAUUAGCGGAUGACCUGUGGCUGGGGGUGAAAGGCCAAUCAAACCGGGAGAUAGCUGGUUCUCCCCGAAAGCUAUUUAGGUAGCGCCUCGUGAACUCAUCUCCGGGGGUAGAGCACUGUUUCGGCUAGGGGGCCAUCCCGGCUUACCAACCCGAUGCAAACUGCGAAUACCGGAGAAUGUUAUCACGGGAGACACACGGCGGGUGCUAACGUCCGUCGUGAAGAGGGAAACAACCCAGACCGCCAGCUAAGGUCCCAAAGUCAUGGUUAAGUGGGAAACGAUGUGGGAAGGCCCAGACAGCCAGGAUGUUGGCUUAGAAGCAGCCAUCAUUUAAAGAAAGCGUAAUAGCUCACUGGUCGAGUCGGCCUGCGCGGAAGAUGUAACGGGGCUAAACCAUGCACCGAAGCUGCGGCAGCGGCACGCAAGUGUUGUUGGGUAGGGGAGCGUUCUGUAAGCCGUUGAAGGUGUGCUGUGAGGCAUGCUGGAGGUAUCAGAAGUGCGAAUGCUGACAUAAGUAACGAUAAAGCGGGUGAAAAGCCCGCUCGCCGGAAGACCAAGGGUUCCUGUCCAACGUUAAUCGGGGCAGGGUGAGUCGACCCCUAAGGCGAGGCCGAAAGGCGUAGUCGAUGGGAAACGGGUUAAUAUUCCCGUACUUGGUGUUACUGCGAAGGGGGGACGGAGAAGGCUAUGUUGGCCGGGCGACGGUUGUCCCGGUUUAAGCGUGUAGGCUGGUUUUCCAGGCAAAUCCGGAAAAUCAAGGCUGAGGCGUGACGACGAGGCACCACGGUGCUGAAGCAACAAAUGCCCUGCUUCCAGGAAAAGCCUCUAAGCGUCAGGUAACAUCAAAUCGUACCCCAAACCGACACAGGUGGUCAGGUAGAGAAUACCAAGGCGCUUGAGAGAACUCGGGUGAAGGAACUAGGCAAAAUGGUGCCGUAACUUCGGGAGAAGGCACGCUGACAUGUAGGUGAAGCGGUUUACCCGUGGAGCUGAAGUCAGUCGAAGAUACCAGCUGGCUGCAACUGUUUAUUAAAAACACAGCACUGUGCAAACACGAAAGUGGACGUAUACGGUGUGACGCCUGCCCGGUGCCGGAAGGUUAAUUGAUGGGGUCAGCGCAAGCGAAGCUCCUGAUCGAAGCCCCGGUAAACGGCGGCCGUAACUAUAACGGUCCUAAGGUAGCGAAAUUCCUUGUCGGGUAAGUUCCGACCUGCACGAAUGGCGUAAUGAUGGCCAGGCUGUCUCCACCCGAGACUCAGUGAAAUUGAACUCGCUGUGAAGAUGCAGUGUACCCGCGGCAAGACGGAAAGACCCCGUGAACCUUUACUAUAGCUUGACACUGAACACUGGUCCUUGAUGUGCAGGAUAGGUGGGAGGCUUUGAAGCGUGGACGCCAGUCUGCGUGGAGCCGUCCUUGAAAUACCACCCUUUAAUGGCUGGUGUUCUAACGUGGGCCCCUGACCGGGGUUGCGGACAGUGUCUGGUGGGUAGUUUGACUGGGGCGGUCUCCUCCCAAAGAGUAACGGAGGAGCACGAAGGUUGGCUAAUCCUGGUCGGACAUCAGGAGGUUAGUGCAAUGGCAUAAGCCAGCUUGACUGCGAGCGUGACGGCGCGAGCAGGUGCGAAAGCAGGUCAUAGUGAUCCGGUGGUUCUGAAUGGAAGGGCCAUCGCUCAACGGAUAAAAGGUACUCCGGGGAUAACAGGCUGAUACCGCCCAAGAGUUCAUAUCGACGGCGGUGUUUGGCACCUCGAUGUCGGCUCAUCACAUCCUGGGGCUGAAGUAGGUCCCAAGGGUAUGGCUGUUCGCCAUUUAAAGUGGUACGCGAGCUGGGUUUAGAACGUCGUGAGACAGUUCGGUCCCUAUCUGCCGUGGGCGCUGGAAGAUUGAGGGGGGCUGCUCCUAGUACGAGAGGACCGGAGUGGACGCAUCACUGGUGUUCGGGUUGUCAUGCCAAUGGCACUGCCCGGUAGCUAAAUGCGGAAGAGAUAAGUGCUGAAAGCAUCUAAGCACGAAACUUGCCCCGAGAUGAAUCUUCCCUGAGACUUUAAGUCUCCUGAAGGAACGUUGAAGACGACGACGUUGAUAGGCCGGGUGUGUAAGCGCAGCGAUGCGUUGAGCUAACCGGUACUAAUGAACCGUGAGGCUUAACCUU
rnacentral:rRNA from 2 species